rnacentral:piRNA from 1 species
ACAACCGUGUAGUGAGCAAUCUG